GCUGGGAUGGCGGAACUGGCAGACGCGCACGGUUCAGGGCCGUGUGGGAUUUAUCUCGUGGGAGUUCAACUCUCCCUCCCAGCA
rnacentral:tRNA from 1 species